CUAUGCGCCUUGCCAGCCCGCUCAGUCAGAGUUUGAUCCUGGCUCAGGACGAACGCUGGCGGCGUGCCUAACACAUGCAAGUCGAGCGAUGAAGUUUCCUUCGGGAAAUGGAUUAGCGGCGGACGGGUGAGUAACACGUGGGUAACCUGCCUCAUAGAGGGGAAUAGCCUUCCGAAAGGAAGAUUAAUACCGCAUAAUAUUACAGUUUCGCAUGAAGCAGUAAUUAAAGGAGUAAUCCGCUAUGAGAUGGACCCGCGGCGCAUUAGCUAGUUGGUGAGGUAACGGCUCACCAAGGCGACGAUGCGUAGCCGACCUGAGAGGGUGAUCGGCCACAUUGGGACUGAGACACGGCCCAG
rnacentral:rRNA from 1 species